CUUGCCGCUCCACAUGGCCCAGGCAAUAUGGGGACCACGUGGUACCGGCGCGGCGCGAACCGGAGACUGGUCUGGAAUCAGUUUCAGCCCGCUAGCUCUCAAUGAGGAGCUGCAAAGAGGACACAGCAGUGCAGGUCUGAGCGCCUGCCGCUGGACUCCCCGUGUGCACUUUUGACAUCUUUGAAUUUUUAAACAACCAGCGAAGUCCAUGGAGCCAGACUUUCUUUUUCUUGUGCUUUCGGGAUGAGGAAUGCCCUCCCACAUGGCGCAAUAACAUCUGUUUGUGGGAAGUGCUGGCCUGGAGAGACAGAAGGAGAGGAGGAGGAGCAGAGGGAGCCACAGGCUCCUUAUAGGACACCACAGGGUAUAUGCAUGGAAGGGGAGGUGAAGUUGGAGACUAAAGCCAGGCUGGAGGGGCUUUUCUACUGUGUGUUAGCUGCAGAGGUGAGGGGCCGUCUGGUGUCGUACAGGUGCAUGAACAGACACACACAGCAUGGAAAGAGAAGCCUGCAUCAAUAAUGUAGCUGUGGAGAAACAGGCUGCAGAAUGUGCCUUACAUAAGCGUGCUGCCUCUUUCACUCUCUGCUUGGCCCUCAGGCUGGAUUCAACACAACAUUUUUAAGCUAAUUAAGCUCCACGUUUGCCAUCCAAACAAGUUUUCAAGAUAAGUGAAGCCUGUAACAAAAAACAUUACAAAAAGAGAAGCUUUUAACUGAAUUUUGCUGAAUUUGAAUCAAGGCUGAGUUUGUUUGUCAGAUUUUAUACUUUUAUACAGUUCAAUUGUGACAUUUUCUUAACUGGCAGAAGUAAGUCUUUGUAACAGGCUGUGUGGCUUUCGUGGACAAUGUAUUAGGUUUGAAUGUUAACUAUCAAUUUUCCUGGUGGAGAGGGGUCACUGGGGUCACAUAGACAAAGAAAUGGCAGGACAAAUGAUUUUCUGUAACUGUGAUGAAUAGGUCAAUAAAAUCCUACACAGACCUUAGGCUGGUUAACUUAGUAGAGUAAUACCCUUAGUUUCAGUCUUUUUAGUAAGCGGUUAUGUCAGUGUUGAAAGCAGAUUUUCAAAUGCCUCACAAAUGUACUUCUCAUUUAUUUAACUUAUUUAUUUAAGGAACUUUUAGUCUAUUUAUUUAUUUUAUUUAACAGGUACAUUGCAUCAUAAGAAAAUACUACACAAGCCAGAAGUGGACACAAACCACACGUUUUGUAUAGUAUUCACUGAAUUUCCUCUUUAUCCUCAUGUUUUGCCAUUCAGUGUAUCAGUGCGUCUUUCUUUGUGCCUCUUAAUCUUACUAUUACGUACAUGUUGGUAUGACUCGCCAACAAGCAAAUUUGUAGUUUUGCUAUUUUGUAGUAUUUUUUUUUUCUCCAAACCUUGCAAUUGUCUCUUUCAAACUACCAAUGCAUAUUUUUUCCUCUCUCAUUUUACUAUGAUGUGCAUAUUAUGUUACAAGGGCUUUGACUAUUUGCUAUAUUUCUUCCAUACUGUCUAAAUAAUCCUGUUCAGCAGGUGUAAGACUUUGACCUUUGCAUUUUACAUCCAGUUGCACAAUAUGAACUUGUCUCGAUCAAGCUGUUAGAUGUGGGCACGUCGAUGUGUGAAUCACAGUUUGUCAUUGUGUGCAUGUGGAAGCUCAUCAUGCUUGUGCUAUCCUUUUUCUGCCACAUUGCCAUGGCGACAGUGCCCUCCCGGGGUAAUGGGGGACGAGUGCGCCAGAGCUAUUUAUUCUCUCCCUCCACCUCUCUCUCCUCUCUCCAUCCCUCUCUCUCUCUACCCAUCCAUCCGUUGCUCGCCCUGCUACAUCCUCUCCUCCUCUCUCCUUCCCUCCUUCUUUCGUCCUCCUCUGAUUGGCUUAACACUCUUCCUCCUCAAAAUGAGACACUGCCUAAUGAGCGACAGGGUGAGGAGCCAGGAGUGGGAGAGACAAAGAGCAAAGAGUGUCUUAAAAAGAGAGAAAGUGGAAAUAUGUGGGCGAGGCCAUCUAUGCACAUUCAAAGGACUUGCAAUUUGAGUAACACCAAGAUGCUAUUUAGUAUUAAAACUGCGCUGAAUGUCUUCUAUAAUAAAACAAGUUGAUAUCUCUUUGCGUAUUUGGGGUCAUGACCUUUGAAUGAUGCAGCCAUUUAAAAUCUGCCAGCGUUGUAAAUAUAGUGCUGUAUACAAGACUGAUGUUGAAGUCCAAAAUAAACAAUGUGCUACAAUCUGAAUACAUUUUGGCCUUUGUCACAUGGCCCCUGACCAUGUUCAAGAAACAUAAUAUGCCCAUAUUUGGACAUUUGUUUAUUUUCUGCAAAG